AUGAUCUGUUCUAUAGGCCUAUGCCUUUGUAUCCUUGAGUUUGAAGGAGACAGGAACCCAAGUCUGGUGGAUGUAUUAAGGGCUGUAUGAUCAGACUGUGAUUAACAGCUGGCCCCCCAUUAUCUGGGUCUCCACAGAAGUAGAGGAUUGUUCUCAGUCAUCCUUAAUCUGAUGGCUGAGAUGGUCACAAGGUUGUCUGACAGACU
rnacentral:snoRNA from 1 species